rnacentral:rRNA from 1 species
UACGUAGGGUGCAAGCGUUGUCCGGAAUUAUUGGGCGUAAAGAGCUCGUAGGCGGUUUGUCGCGUCGGCUGUGAAAACUCGGGGCUCAACCCCGAGCCUGCAGUCGAUACGGGCUGACUAGAGUGCGGUAGGGGAGACUGGAAUUCCUGGUGUAGCGGUGAAAUGCGUAGAGAUCGGGAAGAACACCCGUGGCGAAGGCGGCGUGCUGGGUUGCAACUGACGCUGAGAUGCGAAAGUGUGGGGAGCAAACGGG